AUGUGCAUGUACAUGACUUCAAGGAACUUGAGAGUUGAGACAGACAGUAACAAUCCUAUGAUAAAAUUGGACAGAAAAUCAAUGGGAAAACAAAAACCUAGCACAAAAGAGAACACCUCUGGGCACGGAAUGGAUCACUUAGCCAUCGUCGGAGUGGCUACAUUGGGGAGCGCCGACGGCGGUGUCACCCUGGGCCUCCUCGCUGACGAAGGGCACUCCGGCAGCAGCGGCCAUUUUGCCGCGUGCAUGAAUCAGGGGCUGGAUGCGAGGGAUUGGAGGCCGGCGGAGGCGCGAGGCCGAUGA
rnacentral:rRNA from 1 species